rnacentral:rRNA from 1 species
UACGUAGGUGGCAAGCGUUGUCCGGAUUUAUUGGGUUUAAAGGGUGCGUAGGCUGUCUUCUCAGUCAGUUGUGAAAUACUUCAGCUUAACUGGAGAGGUGCAAUUGAUACUGGAAGACUUGAGUACUGAUGAGGUAGGCGGAAUGGACGGUGUAGCGGUGAAAUGCUUAGAUAUCGUCCAGAACACCGAUAGCGAAGGCAGCUUACUAAGGAGUAACUGACGCUGAGGCACGAAAGUGUGGGGAUCGAACAGG